rnacentral:rRNA from 1 species
CCUACGGGUGGCAGCAGUGAGGAAUAUUGGUCAAUGGACGAGAGUCUGAACCAGCCAAGUAGCGUGAAGGAUGAAUGCCCUAUGGGUUGUAAACUUCUUUUAUAUGGGAAUAAAACGUUCCACGUGUGGGAUUUUGUAUGUACCAUAUGAAUAAGGAUCGGCUAACUCCGUGCCAGCAGCCGCGGUAAUACAGAGGAUCCGAGCGUUAUCCGGAUUUAUUGGGUUUAAAGGGAGCGUAGGUGGAUGGUUAAGUCAGUUGUGAAAGUUUGCGGCUCAACCGUACAAGUGCAGUUGAAACUGGCAGUCUUGAGGACAGUAGAGGUGGGCGGAAUUCGUGGUGUAGCGGUGAAAUGCUUAGAUAUCACGAAGAACUCCGAUUGCGAAGGCAGUUCACUGGACUGCAACUGACACUGAGGCUCGAAAGUGUGGGUAUCAAACAGGAUUAGAUACCCGAGUAGUC